rnacentral:rRNA from 1 species
UACGUAGGGUGCAAGCGUUAUCCGGAAUUAUUGGGCGUAAAGAGCUCGUAGGCGGUUUGUCGCGUCUGCUGUGAAAUCCCCGAGGCUCAACCUCGGGUCUGCAGUCGAUACGAGCAAACUAGAGUGUUGCAGGGGAGACUGGAAUUCCUGGUGUAGCGGUGAAAUGCGCAGAUAUCAGGAGGAACACCGGUGGCGAAGGCAGCUUACUAGGCUGUAACUGACGCUGAGGCACGAAAGUGUGGGGAGUCAAACAGG